CACCCCCCAGGAUCGCUCCUGGAGAGUUUCCAGUACUCUGCUAGUCUCAGCUACGGGAGGGAAAGUCAAGUAGAGGCCUGUCCACUCCAUUCCUAGGUUAGGCAGUGGCUAGCGAGUGGAUGGCAAUCUGCUACAAGU